ensembl:snoRNA
GCUCCUUUUCUUGGCGGGGAUCAGGCAUGCAUCCCGGUCCCCAUAAUGUAUGGAGGCAGAGGGAAAGGGCUCCAGCCGUCUCGGCGUUGUGUCUUCAGUGCUGGUGGCUUCCAGUGCGCCGCUUCUGUCCUCAAGCGCCGGGACAUGG